rnacentral:rRNA from 1 species
AUUGAACGCUGGCGGCAGGCCUAACACAUGCACGUCGAACGAGUGGCGGACGGGUGAGUAAUGUCUGGGAACCUGCUUGAUGGAGGGGGAUAACUACUGGAAACGGUAGCUAAUACCGCAUACCAUCGGAUGUGCCCAGAUGGGAUUAGCUAGUAGGUGGGGUAAAGGCCCACCUGGGCGACGAUCCCUAGCGGGUCUGAGAGGAUGACCAGCAAACCGGGAACUGAGAACGGGUCCAGACUCCUACGGGAGGCAGCAGGGGGGAAUAUUGCAAAAUGGGCGCAAGCCUGAUGCAGCCAUGCCGCGUGUAUGAAGAAGGCCUUCGGGUUGUAAAGUACUUUCAGCGGGGAGGCGUUACCCGCAGAAGAAGCACCGGCGAACUCCGUGCCAGCAGCCGCGGUAAUUC